rnacentral:misc_RNA from 2 species
AACGCACAUUGCGCCCAUUAGUAUUCUAGUGGGCAUGCCUGUUCGAGCGUCAUUUCAACCCUUAAGCCUAGCUUAGUAUUGGGAAUCGACUUUACUGUCGUUCCUCAAAUUCAACGGCGGAUUUAUAGCAAUCUCUGAACGUAGUAAUUUUUUUCCUCGUUUUUGAAAUACUAUAAACCUCAGCCGCUAAACCCCCAAUUUUUUUAUGGUUGACCUCGGAUCAGGUAGGAAUACCCGCUGAACUUAA